rnacentral:rRNA from 1 species
CCUAAACGGCCGCGGCCCUAAAACCGUGCAAAGGUAGCACAAUCACUUGUCCCUUAAAUGGGGACCCGUAUGAAAGGCAUCAUGAGAGAAAACCUGUCUCCUAAGGCCAGCCAAUGAAAUUGUUUUACCCGUACAAAAACUGGUAUAUGAAAGCAAGACAAAAAGACCCUGUGGAACUUUCAACGAAUUGUUUACACACAUAAGCAAUAGUUUUAGUUGGGACAACUUUAGAAAAAAUAAACUUCUUAAAACACCAAGACCAACCAGUCUAAAAUAACCCCAAGACCCAGCCAAGCUGACUAAUGAAACAAGCUACCCCAGGGAUAACAGCGCCACCUUCUCAAAGAGUCCAUAUCAACAAGAAGAUCUACGACCUCGAUGUUGGAUUAGGGUACCCAGACGGUGCAGCAGCUGUCAACGGUUCGUUUGUUCAACGACUAAUACCCCACGUGAUCUGAGUUCAGA